rnacentral:misc_RNA from 1 species
AUGGGAAGGUAAAAAUGUUGUUGCAACUGGUCGGAAGAUCAUUGGUGCCACUAAACCUUCAGAGUCGGAUCCCGGCACCAUCCGUGGUGAUUUUGCAGUUGAAGUUGGAAGGAAUGUCAUUCAUGGAAGCGAUUCAGUUGAGAAUGCUAAGAAAGAGAUUGCACUGUGGUUCCCUGAUGGCACAGUGAACUGGCAGAGCAG